rnacentral:rRNA from 1 species
UUGAACGCUGGCGGCAUGCCUUACACAUGCACGUCGAACGGCAGCACGGGUGCUUGCACCUGGUGGCGAGUGGCGAACGGGUGAGUAAUACAUCGGAACAUGUCCUGUAGUGGGGGAUAGCCCGGCGAAAGCCGGAUUAAUACCGCAUACGAUCUACGGAUGAAAGCGGGGGACCUUCGGGCCUCGCGCUAUAGGGUUGGCCGAUGGCUGAUUAGCUAGUUGGUGGGGUAAAGGCCUACCAAGGCGACGAUCAGUAGCUGGUCUGAGAGGACGACCAGCCACACUGGGACUGAGACACGGCCCAGACUCCUACGGGAGGCAGCAGUGGGGAAUUUUGGACAAUGGGCGAAAGCCUGAUCCAGCAAUGCCGCGUGUGUGAAGAAGGCCUUCGGGUUGUAAAGCACUUUUGUCCGGAAAGAAAUCCUUGGCCCUAAUACGGUCGGGGGAUGACGGUACCGGAAGAAUAAGCACCGGCUAACUACGUG